rnacentral:misc_RNA from 1 species
GUAGGUGAACCUGCGGAAGGAUCAUUUCUGUUUCUGAUUGGUUUCAAUCUGAGUGGAGGGAAACCUCUCUUGGGUUGCCAAUCAAAAAUUGUGAUUGUGUGGUUUCAAUGAAGAUGUCUUUUGUUUGCUUUUUUUCUACCUUCAUUGGUAAAAAAGGGCAAACUCAAGCAUCUAAUUUUUUCAUACUAAACCAAAAACGAUGUUUACUAUUGUAACAUUCUAGAUCGAAAAAGGGGUUCUUUCGGGGAUUCUUUUUGAGAUCGAACAAAAUAACAAACAUACAACUGUCAACGGUGGAUCUCUUGGCUCGU